rnacentral:rRNA from 1 species
UACGUAGGGUCCGAGCGUUGUCCGGAAUUAUUGGGCGUAAAGAGCUCGUAGGCGGUGUGUCGCGUCGGAUGUGAAAGCCCGGGGCUUAACUUCGGGUCUGCAUUCGGUACGGGCAUGCUGGAGUUCGGUAGGGGAGACUGGAAUUCCUGGUGUAGCGGUGAAAUGCGCAGAUAUCAGGAGGAACACCGGUGGCGAAGGCGGGUCUCUGGGCCGAUACUGACGCUGAGGAGCGAAAGCGUGGGGAGCGAACAGG